rnacentral:rRNA from 1 species
UACGUAGGGACCAAGCGUUGUUCGGAUUUACUGGGCGUAAAGGGCGCGUAGGCGGUCAGCACAAGUCAGUUGUGAAAUCUCCGGGCUUAACUCGGAAAGGUCAACUGAUACUGUGCGACUAGAGUGCAGAAGGGGCAACUGGAAUUCUCGGUGUAGCGGUGAAAUGCGUAGAUAUUGAGAGGAACACCUGCGGCGAAGGCGGGUUGCUGGGCUGACACUGACGCUGAUGCGCGAAAGCCAGGGGAGCGAACGGG